UACGUAGGGAGCGAGCGUUGUCCGGAUUCAUUGGGCGUAAAGAGCUCGUAGGCGGCUUGGUAAGUCGGAUGUGAAACCUCCAGGCUCAACCUGGAGUCGCCAUCCGAUACUGCCAUGGCUAAAGUCCGGUAGGGGCCCACGGAAUUCCUGGUGUAGCGGUGAAAUGCGCAGAUAUCAGGAGGAACACCGAUGGCGAAGGCAGUGGGCUGGGUCGGCACUGACGCUGAGGAGCGAAAGCGUGGGGAGCGAACAGG
rnacentral:rRNA from 1 species